rnacentral:pre_miRNA from 1 species
UGGGCUCGGCCCGGGCUGCCACGAGCGUGCGGGCCUCGCCGGGCAUGUCCUAGGCGGCGGCCCCGCCCAGCGCUCGGCCGGGCGGGCGGGCGGGCGCG